AGCAGGCGGCAGUGGAGGUGCUGCCGCCCCGAUACACCCUGAUGAGAGUGGGUCUGUAGUGGGAUGGUGGAGCAGAUCAUCCUCUUCCAACUGCCAGCCCUUCAAGUUCUGAAGCAGGAGUUGGGUUCCCUGGGUGGUUCACCUCUUGGUAGCUACUCUGCCAGGCACCGUGCUGGCAUUCUGUAUCUAACAUCUCAUUCAUCCUCACACAGGAAGGAAGACCGGUCAUAGAAGAAGACGUCCUUGUCGGGCCCAGAGAAGUUUCUGCCGUAUUCCAUGUUGAUGACGAAGAGCCCGUGCCUGGCCUGCCUGCCGGUGACUGCCUCCAGCUGGGCCAGCAUCUGCAUGGGGAACUCCUCCAGGACGACAUCGGCGAGCACACUGAACAUCUGGUAGAGCCCCGAAGCCUCGUUCACGCGCCGGAGGACGCAGCUGGUCAGC